GAUGAACGCUGGCGGCGUGCCUAAUACAUGCAAGUCGAGCGAACAGACGAGGAGCUUGCUCCUCUGACGUUAGCGGCGGACGGGUGAGUAACACGUGGAUAACCUACCUAUAAGACUGGGAUAACUUCGGGAAACCGGUGCUAAUACCGGAUAAUAUAUUGAACCGCAUGGUUCAAUAGUGAAAGACGGUUUUGCUGUCACUUAUAGAUGGAUCCGCGCCGCAUUGGCUAGUUGGUAAGGUAACGGCUUACCAAGGCAACGAUGCGUAGCCGACCUGAGAGGGUGAUCGGCCACACUGGAACUGAGACACGGUCCAGACUCCUACGGGAGGCAGCAGUAGGGAAUCUUCCGCAAAGGGCGAAAGCUUGACGGAGCAACGCCGCGUGAGUGAUGAAGGUCUUCGGAUCGUAAAACUCUGUUAUUAGGGAAGAACAAAUGUGUAAGUAACUAUGCACGUCUUGACGGUACCUAAUCAGAAAGCCACGGCUAACUACGUG
rnacentral:rRNA from 1 species